GAUGAACGCUGGCGGCGUGCCUAAUACAUGCAAGUCGAACGAGGUGCUUGAGUAGCAAUACAAGAGUAUCCUAGUGGCGAACGGGUGAGUAACGCGUUGGUGACCUACCCCAAAGUGUGGGAUAACAGUUCGAAAGAACUGCUAAUACCGCAUGUGGUUAUUGGAUUUAGAAACUGAUAACUAAAGGAGCAAUUCGCUUUGGGAGGGACCUGCGUCCCAUCAGCUAGUUGGUGAGGUAAUGGCUCACCAAGGCUACGACGGGUAGGGGACCUGAGAGGGUGACCCCCCCACAAUGGAACUGAAACACGGUCCAUACACCUACGGGUGGCAGCAGUAGGGAAUAUUGCACAAUGGGCGAAAGCCUGAUGCAGCAACGCCGCGUGUGCGAUGAAGGCCUUCGGGUCGUAAAGCACUUUUCUGAGAGAUGAGCAAGGACAGUAUCUCAGGAAUAAGUCUACGGCUAACUACGUAGCCAGCAGCCGCGGUAA
rnacentral:rRNA from 1 species